rnacentral:pre_miRNA from 1 species
AUCACCUGGGCACCUUGUUAAAAUGCAGACUCUUUUUAGUAGAUCUGGAGUGGGUCCCAGUAUUCUGCAUUUCUAACAAGUUCCCACAUGAUGCUGA